rnacentral:misc_RNA from 1 species
GCUUGCGGCUGGAUCCCCUCCUUUCUAAGGAGAAUCCCGUCCUUUCGGGGAGCGGGAUAGGUCAACUGUUGUGUGGCCGUUUCGGCGGUUGCGCAGCGGACGCAAGCGAGGAACCAAUCACAUCACUUCCGGAGCGAGGCGGGGUACUGCAGAUCUGUUGAACGGUCGGGGUCGUAGCUCAGUUGGGAGAGCGCAAGCUUUGCAAGCUUGAGGUCACGGGUUCGAGGCCCGUCGGCUCCACCAGUCCCGGCGCCUGUCGAGGUGUGGUACGGGGCGGGUGGUUGUCGGCCCGUCGAUUGCGGCUGGGGCUGUUGGUUGCCGCUCCAACCGGGCGUGUAGCUCAGUUGGUUAGAGCGCAUCCCUGAUAAGGAUGAGGUCCCUGGUUCGAAUCCAGGCACGCCCACCAACUCGCGCGCGUCGGGCGGUACGGAUCCGGCAUCUGGAUGCCAGGUCCCGGAGGAAUCCGGGGGUUGGGAUACGGAUACCGGGACGGCGCGAGUCGUUUCAUUGUUCUUUGAAAAUUGCAUAGCAAGGGUAGAAAGCUAUAGGUGCCUUGAGAUUCUUGUGAUCUCAACGGGAGCUUGGGCAGGAAUUUGUUCAAGCUACCAAGGGCACACGGCGGAUGCCUUGGCAUCGGUAGGCGAUGAAGGACGUGGUAAGCUGCGAAAAGCUUCGGGGAACGGCAAGCACGUGUUGAUCCGGAGAUGUCCGAAUGGGGAAACCCGGAAGC